rnacentral:rRNA from 1 species
AGCGUUGUCCGGAAUUACUGGGCGUAAAGAGCUCGUAGGUGGUUUGUCGCGUCGUCUGUGAAAUUCCGGGGCUUAACUCCGGGCGUGCAGGCGAUACGGGCUGACUUGAGUGCUGUAGGGGAGACUGGAAUUCCUGGUGUAGCGGUGAAAUGCGCAGAUAUCAGGAGGAACACCGAUGGCGAAGGCAGGUCUCUGGGCAGUAACUGACGCUGAGGAGCGAAAGCAUGGGGAGCGAACAGGAUUAGAUACCCUGGUAGU